UCCCUGGUGGCUUAGAUGGUAAAGUAUCCACCUAUAAUGUGGGAGACCUGGGUUCAAUCCCUGCUUUGGGAA
rnacentral:tRNA from 1 species